GGAGUUCCUUGCAGCCCAAAG
rnacentral:miRNA from 1 species